UAUGAUUUUAUAUGAGACAUUGUAGAGACUAAUGGGUCGGUAGUCGCUCAUCCGACUCGGUUGCUCUAUCUUAGGGAUGAGACAUAUAUGUGUUUGAUUGAGUCGAGGUAGCAUAGUACUUGUCUGAAAGAAAUUCUUGAUCUCAGUGGUGAUAUCUGUACCUAGAAUUUCCCAAAACUGAUGAUAAAAGUAUCCUGUCAUACUAUCUGGACCUGGUGCUCGAUCACCUCUGAUAGCAUAGACAGCUUGUUGUAUCUCGUCAUCAGUAGCUUCUUGAGUGAGGAGGGUAUUCAUAUCUUCCGUUACUGGUGCAGGAAUAUUAUCAAAGAAAUCCCCCCAACUGUUAUGUCCCUCUUUCUGAUACUGAUCUUGAAAAUACUCUGUGGCAAUCAGAGAUAUUUUCUCAUCUCCAACAUGUUCGACACCAUUAGAAUCAUAGACUGAAAGCAUUCUAUUCUUGGCUUUACGGGCUUUUACACUUCCAUGAAAGUAUAAGAGUUAGUAAGAUUCGAUUGCUUCCAUUUAGAGAUUUUUGAACGCAACAACUUAAUCUUCUCCGAAAACAUCAGUCCGGAUGGAAGGUCGAUGGUCUGAUUCAAUUGGUUCCAAGAAUUCAGCAGCUGAAGCAGGGAAGUAGGAGAACCACUCUGUAUUCGCAAUAACUCUGUCUAAG